rnacentral:lncRNA from 1 species
AUUAGGCGCACCUUGGCACCACCUGACACAUUGUACACCAGCCCCAACCCCUGCCAGAACUCUGGCUGAAGUAAGAAGUGAUUUACUCACAUCCAAUUCGAAUUCAAAUUCUGACAUCCCUCCCGUCUGAUCAUGUGGAGGAGACUCCCAUCCUCAGAUGAUAGGGACACUAGAGUAGCACCAUGGGCUAGAAGGGCUAGGAGACCAUGGGAAAGACUGGGUUGUUCUGGCCCAUUGUUUGUCCUAAUUAUAGUCAAUGUUGUUUUGACAUUGGGAGUAAUGAUAUGGGAAGCCCAGGUGGCGGUUAUGGUACUCAUGCAAUCAGUUGGUCUAGAUCAGUGUGGUACAUGACAGAAGGGGGGUAUAAUAAAUGGACGUGGAAGAAUUUAGUGGCAGAGACUGGUCCUGACUGGUCUAGCUGGACAGUGCAUCAGAUGGCACUCCUGUGGCGGAGCAGGUUGACGUUAACUAAAGUUACAACUGGUUUGAAAUUGGUAAUCAAACACAGGGAAGGUGGUAUGACUUAUGACCUCCAUUGUAACUUUCCUUUGUGGUCUGAUCAGCCUCAUUGGAAAGCCAUUUGGAUGGAGAAUCUAGGGUAAUUUGUAAUACUGAUAUUAAGGUAAUUUAAUACAAAAAUGCAGUGAAAUUUACAUUAUAGUGUCAAUAUAUUUUCUCUGAUGAACGUGGUGUGAAAAUUUAGCUAGGAUAAGUUUUAUUUAUGGUAGACUCAUGUUAAGUAUUUGGGACAUAUUUUGAGCAAACAGGGCAGGGAAGAAAUUGAGAUAUUUGUGUUUGGUUUUAACACCUGUAUAUAGGGGGUGCCAUUUGAAUAUUUAAUUUGUGGUCAUGGGUAAUACGGUUUGUUUUUGUUUUUAUUUUUUAAGGUAAAUUAAUUAUAGUGGGGUUUAAUUAACCUAUAUAAGGACUUUAGAAAGUGCCACCAUAGACAUGUUUUUCUAAAAAAAAAAAUCCAUGAGUUUAGAUAAAGCCAAACAGUGAGACAUUUAGUUCAAAUUUGGAAACAUGAGAAAACGAGCUACAGACAGAUAAGGGGAAAAGGCAGACAGAAGAGCCCUCCCCUGCACUGCAGAGACCUUGAAGGUUGGAGAGCAGAGAGGAUAAGUUUUAAAAGGGAGCCAGGACGAGCAAAGAUAACAGAAUGUGUAGAUAACAGUUACUGAGUGGAGACAAAAGGGAGAAUUGGACAUGUGGAAAAUGAAAGGGGCGCUCCUACAUGAUAAUGUCAGAACAGAAGGAUAAUAUACUAAUCUUACCUAAGUCAUUAUUUAGAGUAGGUAAGGUUGUUACCUGGGCAGAGCCAGGUAUCAAAAGGGGGAUGGGUAAAUUGUGGUCUAGGAUAGGAUGGGGCCUAUUGGAUAAGAAACUAAAUAUAUAAUCAGAUAAAACAUAUGAGAAACUGUUUGUUAACCAAGCCUGUAUGUCCAGGAUUUUAUGCAUUACAGGUGAACUACAGGUGAAGUCACUCAAUCCAGUCCCAGAGGCUUGUUGGGGGGACCAUACAAGGACUCCUGGUGACAGCUAGCUGAAAGAGCUACCCGGAUUCAUAUCGCACGGGGGAGGGUAGGACACAUGACACUGUCGAACAAAAAACAGUGUUCGAGAGGAGAACUGGAAUUAACAGAAUUCCGGGGGCCAUCUCUCGAAUGAAGUAACCCUCCCUGUCCUGUCACCCCUGUUUUUGUUCAUAGAAGUGAAGAUGUGUCUGGCUCUUGCUAGUGAUGUGUUCUCUGGGAGAGGGUGGGGCUUUACAGGAGUGUCAGUGUACCUGUGUAAUGGGGGAGGGUGUCCAUAUGGGGAUUACAUGAUAACCAACUUGGGACAAUUCUAGGAUUGGAGAAGAGGGUAUUCUUAUAGCAUAGGGGAUCCCACAAAGGUGGAUAGGUUUUCCAACAUAUGGGGAAAACCUGGUAGCACUGUUGAACUUUGUAAAGGUGAUGAAAUCCUACUAACCAU